UCUGGCUGUGACAUCUGUCAACCCAUUGAUCUUCAGGGUUGAUUGGGCUGAUCUGGCUGGCUAGCACAUUGAUCACUU
rnacentral:snRNA from 1 species